rnacentral:rRNA from 1 species
CAGCAGCCGCGGUAAUACCGGCAGUCCAAAGUGGGAACCGAUUUUAUUGGGUCUAAAACAUUCGUAGCCUGUCUAGAAAUUUUUCUGUGAAAUCGUUUUGCUUAACAGAACGGCUUGCAGAAAAUAAUACUAGACUUGAGACUGGGAGACGUAAGAAGUACAGUUGAGGUAGUGGUAAAAUACGUUGAUCUUAACUGGACUAACGAUUGGCGAAGGCAUCUUACGAGAACAGAUCUGACGGUGAGGGAUGAAAGCUAGGGGCGCAAAACGGAUUAGAUACCCGUGUAGUCCUAGCCGUAAACGCUGCAUACUAAACAUUGUUUUCUCUUCGGGAGGAAGCAGUGCUGUAGGGAAGCCGUAGAGUAUGCUACCUGGGAAGUAUAGUCGCAAGGUCGAAACUUAAAGGAAUUGGCGGGGGGGCACCACAAGGAGUGACACGUGCGGUUCAAUUAGAUUAUACACCGUGAACCUCACCAGGAGCGACAGCAGGAUGAAGGUCAGUCUAAAGGGCUUACCUGACACGCUGAGAGGAGGUGCAUGGCCGUCGUCAGCCUGUGUCGUGAGAUGACCUGUUAAAUCAGGUAACAGGCGAGACCUGCAUCUGUAGUUGCUACGAAAGAGCACACUACAGAGACUGCCUUGGUAACAAGGAGGAAGGUGCAGACUACGACAGGUGAGUACGCCCCGAAUCCCCUGGGCUACACGCGCGUGGCAAUGCUACAUGCAAUGGGCUGCGACUCCGAAAGGAGAAGCUAAUCUCAAAUAUGUGGCUUAGUUCAGAUUGAGCCUUGCAACCCAGGCUCAUGACGAUGGAAUUCCUAGUAAUCGUUCUUUANCAAGACGGUGAAUANUCCCUGCCCCUGCAAAAAUCUGAAUC